rnacentral:lncRNA from 1 species
CCUUCCUUCCUUCCCUUCCUCCCUCCCUCCUUCCCUUCUUUCUCUCUCUCUCUCUCUUUCUUUCUUGAGACGGAGUCUUGCUCUGUCGCCCAGGCUGGAGUGCAGUGACGUGUUCUUGGCUCACUGCAAGCUCCGCCUCCCGUGUUCACGGCAUUCUCCUGCUUCAGCCUCUGGAGUAGCCGUGACUACAGGCACCCGCCACCGCGCCCGGCCUUAACUAGGAUUUUCUAGACUAUGUUCCAGGAGAAGUAGAAUUACUGCAUCACAGGGCACUUCAUUUUUAGAUUACGUAUCAUGGCGGCAGACCUUCAAUACCAAGGUGAGAUGGAAUAUGUAGUCCAUUCAAGUAAUGGGAACUUCAGAUGAGAGUCAUGUAACUGGGGUCCGCAGUCCUCUCAGAAUUUCUGUUGUACCAUUCAGGACAGCAUCUCCCCUCCCUGACCAGUUGAUAAAUCAUCUUGCAAAAGGCUCAUCUCAAAUGAAGAUGUAAUUCCUGGAAUUUUUUAAAAUAUGUCGUUUUUAUAAGAUUUUUAAUAGGAAAAAAUAUAUGGUUAUUGUCAAAAAUACAAAUUUAUAAAGGUUUUUAAUUGCAUGAGACCUUUCCUGUUUGCUCUCAGGCAGCAUCAGCAUUAAGCAGUUCUACUGCGUCAGACCUUAAUUCUGUGCCUUAAAAGCAGCAACUGUUUUGUUUUGUUUCCUCCUCUCCACUUAGGCUGCAGGGCCCAAUUCAGAUGAAUUAACUACAUUGGCUUUAUAAAAUGCUUACUGAACUGAAAAUGAUGAAAGAAAAAACAAAUUAGUGAUGAAAGAAAAGAAAAAUAAAACAUAACAUUCAUGAAAAUGCUCACAAAAGGUUUUUUCUGCACCAAAAGUUAAUAAAUGCUGUACAUUGUUUAUAAAUAAUUAAAAUGGACUGAUAGUGAUAACGUGUUCUCUUUUGACCCUUCCAGCAAACUUCUUAAAGGUUUUCAAAUAUAGUGGUGAUUUCAUAUGGCCUGUGUUGACUUCAUUUAUAGUUGUUGUUUGUAAUUUAUUAAUUUGCUGUUUCCAGAUGUGCUCUCUCCCGCCCCUUGUUUAAGCUGUUAACCCUAGGUAUGUGCUGAGGAACUGGAUGGCAGAAUCUGCAGUGCAGAAAGCAGAAAGGAAUGAUUUCUCAGACCUAAGAUGGUUGACUUCUCUCAGUUCAUUUUUAUUAAUUAAAAAUCUAUUAUAUUUUGAAGACGCUUGUUUGCAGACAUGCUAAAUUAUACCAUUGCCGUGCAUCUUCUCCAGCAAGUUCUUCAGCAUCCUUUCCAGAAGCAUUCGGCAGCCGAGAAAGCAGGCUACACCUUACCUACUCCUUCCUGGGCUAAAGAUCUCAGACUUAGUUGCUUAUCUUAAUUUGGGGAAAAUAAAUUAAGGAGUUCUUCUAUCAUUAAGCACAACAUAAUAUAAUCUAUUUAAUAAAUUCUGAUCAUCCACAUUUUGAUGGCAAUCCCACAUUUGAAAAUAAUGAUUAUAUAUGCAAAUAUUUUUAGCCAGUUAAAUUGGAACUUAUUCUUUGAAACAUCAUGAUCAUUUUUGUUCUAAUCAGUAACUAUAAUGGAACAAUAAGGUGUUUUUGAUAAACCACAUGAGUUAUUUUCAUUGAUUAUCUUAUGACAGUUGUUAUCAAAAUGGAUUAUUACAUAUUUAUCUAGUAUUUGCUGUAAACUCAGCAGUUUGGAAUACAUCAGUAAGUAUUUAGUUUUAUUAUGCUACUAGAGUUUUUUUCCGUAUUAUAGAAUUUUCAAACAUUUACUAAGGUAGAUAAAAUUUUAAUAGUUUAAUGAACCUGGUUUACCAUUUAAUCAGCUUAUUAGUAAUCAAUACAUGGCCAAUUUCACUUCAUUUACACCUCCACACACUUCCCUCAUAUUCCUUGUUAUUGCCUUAAUUGAGAUAUAAUUUACAUGUCCUCAAUUAUGUUUUGGAAAAUGGAGACAUUGUUUCCUCUACAAAUAUUUCUGUAUGCCUCUCUAAAUAUUAAUGACUUAAAACACAAACAGACCCUGACACCAUAUGACCUUAGGACAAAUUAGCAAUAACUUCCUAAUGUAUAAAAUUAAAUAUCCAGUCAGUUUUCAAGGUUUCCCUAUUGUCUUGUAAAUUAUUAUCAUCUUCUUUAUUUUAUAGUUAUUUUAAUUGGGAUCCAAAUAAGGACUAUACAUUAAAAUUAGAUGAAAAUAUGUCUUGUUUCCUUUGAUAUCUUUGAGUAUAUCACCUACGUGUGUCACCUACAUCUUUUUUCACUUGCACUCUUUUGGUUUAUUUUGUUUUGAUUGAAGAAACCAGAUUAUUUAUCCUGUAGUAUUUUGACACUCUGCAUUUUUCGGAUUGCAUUUCGUGGUAUUUAUUAAACCUGUGAUAUAAUUUGAAUGUAUGCUCCAAAUCUCAUUGAUAUGGUUUGGCUCUAUGUCCCCACCCAAAUCUCAUCUUGAAUUUCGACCCCCAUGUGUGGAUGGAGGGACUUGGUGGGAGGUGAUUGGAUCAUGGGGGCCAUUCCCCCAUGCUGUUCUUGUGAUAGAGAGUUCUCAAAAGAUCUGGUUGUUUGAUAAGGGUCUGGCAUUUCCCCUUUGCUCUGUCUCUCCUCCUGCCAUGUAAGAUGUGCCUUGCUUCUCCUUCACCCUCUGUUAUGAUUCUAAGUUUCCUGAGGCCUCUCCAGCCAUGCAUAACUGUGAGUCAAUUAAACCUUCCUUUCUAAAUUACCUAGUCUCAGGUAGUUUCUUUACAGCAAUGUGAAAUUGGACUAACGUACUCAUGUUGAGAUGUAAUCCCCAAUGUUGGAGGUGGGGCCUGGUGGGAGGUGUUUGGGUCAUGGGGACAGAUUCAUCAUAACUUGAUGCUGUCCUCCUGAUAGACUGGGUUCUUAGGAGAUCUGUUGUUUGAAAGUGUGUGGCACCUCCCCUCACUUGCUCUCUUGCUCCCACCCUCUCCAUGUGAGAAGCCUGCUCCUGCUAUGCCUUCUGCCAUGUCUGGAAGCCUCCUGAGGCCUCCUCAAAAGCUGAGCAGAUGCCAGCACCACGUUCCCUGUAAAGCCUGCAGAACUCAGCCAAUUAAACCUCUUUUCUUUAUGAAUUACCCAGCCUCCCAUAUUUUUUUAUAGGAACAGAAAAACAGCCUAGCACAACACGUUUCUCUGCCCCCUGUAUUUCUGUAACUAUAGAGCUUCAGUCAGUUUCAGAAAGGAUUUAUUUGGCAAAAAUACUUGAAAUACAGAGCAAACAUCUGCCUUGGUGAAUUGCCACUAUUUCUUCUGUAACUACAUUUAUGUUCUAUUUGAAUUUCACUGUUAUCACUUUUUUUUCUGUUGCAGUUUUAGCCCUGUUGAUUAAUUUCCACUUUUGAUUAUUCCUUUUUGUAAAAUGUCACGUGGGCUUCUCGCUGGGAGACAAGGAGGCAAGACAAUAACAUGCUUUGCUCUCUGUAUGAACUCAGUAACAAAUAUGCAGUGAUUGGCAACAACAUACUUUGAAAGAAGUGAUGGGUCACUGAUCAUGAUUCAUCUGUUAUUUAGGCUGUGAUUUGUGGACUGAAGAACUAACAAGAAGUUUAUACUUUAUAUAAUUACAGGUAAAAUACCAUGAUAACUGAAAUUAGAACCAUGUUGGGGAACUCGUGUCAUUUAAUUCAAUCAUGCUUAUUGGAACUAGGUAGAGGGGCGAUGGCCUGUACCUCUUACCUUCCUGAUGUUUUCUUUUUUAUCUGCAAUAAACAUUUACAUCAUUCCUUGUAUAGACUGUGAAAUUGUCUAUCAAUUCUAGACAUGUAGUCUAGAAUCACUUUUUAUACUACAUUUUAUAAUUGAGCAUCACUGGUAUAUAGUAUAUAGGACAGUUUUUGGUUUCUAUAAUUAAAGGUUGACUUUAUUAAAGUAUUAAGUAGAUACACCAUCUGAGAAUUUAAAAGUCUGUCUUUUUCAUUCAAAUAGUUGUUCAUCCUAUUUUUUUUGUUGUUAUAUGUAUUGGCUAGAGACUUCAGGAUAAUGUCGAAUAAUAUUAAUGAUAAUAUUGACUUUAAUGGUGUAUUAGUCAUGUCUCUUAUUUUCUGAAUUCGAUGCUUUGACAUCCAGGGCUUUGUUGUCCAUGGAGGGACUGCCCCUCUCAGGAUAAGCUAAUUCCUGGACGUAAGCAACUUGCCUGCAUGUAUGUCUUCAUAUAUAAACCAACCAAUCCAGAGCUCAUACCCCGUUCUUUAUCCUUUCUUUAUCACCCUCUAUUCUUCUUUAUCUAUCUUUAUCCUUCUUUAUCACUCUCAUGUCCCAGGCCACUAUCCGCCUGCCCUAAUUGCCUCAGGGCCAGGUAGCAGACAACUAGGGACAGCCUCUCCUCCCCAAGAUACCACGAAAUUAUUCAAACUAGCCAAUCCUAAGACUGGUUGCCCUGCCUUGCUUGUUCCUUCCUGUGGAAAGUACAGUAAAGAGUCUUGCUCGUGCUUUCCCCCGUCCCCUCUACCUCCUGACUGACCUUGAUGUUUCCCUGUUUUGCCUCUUGUGGUGUGAGGUGCCUACAGCUCCUAGGGAACCCUGAGUAGCAAAAUAAAGUACUUCCCUCAUGACACUCAUUUCUGUGUUCAUGUGUCUUAUCAUACUGAUUAAAACAAAUCCUGGGUACCAUAAAAAUAAAUGACAUUUCUAUUCAUGCUUUGUUAUUAAAUAUGCCUUUUGCUGUAGGUUUCUAAUAACUUUUAUCAAUAUAGAAACAUCUUCCUCAAUUGCUAGUUUCUUAUGAAGUUUUAAAUUUUUUUUAACAAGGAGUGGUGUUGAAUUUUAUCAAGAGCCUUUUUGAUGUUUAUUGAAAUAGUUGUUUUUUCUCCUAUGAAUUUUUCUAAUAGAAACUAUACUGAUUGAACAAUAGGUUAAAAUUAAAGUUUCAUCAGACUCUCAAGAUAUAAUAGCUGUGAAAGUCUAAAUCACCAUAUGUAGGUUUUCAUAGCAAAUAUCUGAGAACCUGCUCCACAAGUAUUAAUUCUCCUCACCUGCUUUAACAAUAUGAAAGGAUGUGGAGUGGAGAACACUGCAGGGAGCUGUUGCCUUGCACUUUCCCCUACCUUACCUUUGAUAGUCUUAUGUAUGGGGAGGAAAAUAAUGCACAUCCUUAACCCUGGGUCUAGAGGAGGACUCUUCAGGAGGCCACCAGGAUAACUGACCAAAAAACUCCUGGAACUAAUAAGCAGUUAUAGCAAGGAUGCCGUAUACAGGAUUAGUAUAGAAAAAUCCAUUGCAGUUGCUCUCCUGCACACAAACAGUGAGCAAUUGGAAUUUGAAAUUAAAAACACAAUGCCAUUUAUGUAAACAUUCCCACCACCAGUGAAAUAAUUAGGUAUAAAUCUAACAAAAUAUAUAAAAGAUCUAUGAGGAAAACUACAAAAUUUUGAUUAAAGAAAUCAAAGAAGGACUAAAUAAAUAGAGAGAUAUUCCAUGUCCAUGGAUAGGGAGGCCUAGCAUUAACAAAAUGUCAGUUCUUCCCAACUUUCUCUCUAGAUUCAAUGCAAUCCCCAUCAAAAUCCCAGAAAUAUAUCACUUGGAUAUUGACAAAUUGAUUCCAAAGUUUCUAUGGAGAGGCUAAAACAAAAACAAAAACCAAAAAAAAACAAAAACAAAAACAAAAAAAACAAGAACAGAUAACGCAGUAUUAGAAAAGAAGAAAAUCAGGGGGGUAACACUACCCAAUUUCAAGAUUUGCAAGAAAGCUACAGCAAUGAAGACAGUGUGGUAGUGGCAAAAGAAUAGAUGAAUAGACCAAUGGAACAGAAUAGAAAAUCCCAAAAUAGACCUAUACAAAUAUUUGACAAAGGGGCAAAGGCAAUACAAUGAGGAAAAGAUAGUCUUUUCAACAAAUGGCACUGGAACAACUUAAUAUCCAUAAGCAAAAUCAAAAAUCUAGACACAGAUCUUACAUCUUCCCCCAAAUUUAGCUGAAAAUGGAUCAUAGACCUAAAUGUAACACACAAAAUUAUAAAAUUUCUAGAAUAUAGGAGAAAAGCUAGAUAACCUUG